rnacentral:rRNA from 1 species
GCUCUUUUACCCGGGAUGAUAAUGACAGUACCUGGAGAAUAAGCUCCGGCUAACUCCGUGCCAGCAGCCGCGGUAAUACGGAGGGAGCUAGCGUUGUUCGGAAUUACUGGGCGUAAAGCGCACGUAGGCGGUUAUUCAAGUCAGAGGUGAAAGCCCGGGGCUCAACCCCGGAACUGCCUUUGAAACUAGGUGACUAGAAUCCUGGAGAGGGGAGUGGAAUUCCGAGUGUAGAGGUGAAAUUCGUAGAUAUUCGGAAGAACACCAGUGGCGAAGGCGGCUCACUGGACAGGUAUUGACGCUGAGGUGCG